GACGUAGGGCGCGAGCGUUGUCCGGAUUUAUUGAGCGUAAAGAGCUCGUAGGCGGUUUGUCGCGUCGUUCGUGAAAACUCACAGCUUAACUGUGAGCUUGCGGUCGAUACGGGCAGGCUAGAGUUCGGUAGGGGAGACUGGAAUUCUCGGUGUAGCGGUGAAAUGCGUAGAUAUCGAGAGGAACACCUGCGGCGAAGGCGGGUUGCUGGGCUGAUACUGACGCUGAGGCGCGAAAGCCAGGGGAGCGAACGGG
rnacentral:rRNA from 1 species